rnacentral:rRNA from 1 species
UACAGAGGAUGCAAGCGUUAUCCGGAAUGAUUGGGCGUAAAGCGUCUGUAGGUGGCUUUUUAAGUCCGCCGUCAAAUCCCAGGGCUCAACUCUGGACAGGCGGUGGAAACUACCAAGCUGGAGUACGGUAGGGGCAGAGGGAAUUUCCGGUGGAGCGGUGAAAUGCGCAGAUAUCUGGAGGAACACCGGUGGCGAAGGCGGCAUCCUGGACCGACACUGACACUGAGGAGCGAAAGCCAGGGGAGCAAACGGG